UGCGAAAACAACGUCCGAACAAAUAAUUUUGUUUCAUAAUGUAUGGAUCACGAAAAAGCUCGAAAACGUACCUAAAGGUCAAAAUUUGGAGUCGAAAAAAAAAUGGUACUUACCAUUGCUUUGCUUCUUCGGAGGGCUCUCAUUGUGAUUUUCGAAAAGGUAUCAUAUACCAAUUUUUACCUCACGGUUUAAAAGUUAUAAAGUCAAAAGGUUUUAACUAAAAAAAAACAAAAGGGAUGCAACACGAGAACUUCUCGGAAGGUCACCCUUCUAGUACUACUCUCGACCAAUCACGCUUAACUACAGUGUUCUGAUAGGAUCCGGUGCAUCUUGAUGAAAUUUAGUUAUU
rnacentral:sRNA from 1 species